GAUGAACGCUGGCGGCGUGCCUAAUACAUGCAAGUCGAGCGAACGGACGAGAAGCUUGCUUCUCUGAUGUUAGCGGCGGACGGGUGAGUAACACGUGGAUAACCUACCUAUAAGACUGGGAUAACUUCGGGAAACCGGAGCUAAUACCGGAUAAUAUUUUGAACCGCAUGGUUCAAAAGUGAAAGACGGUCUUGCUGUCACUUAUAGAUGGAUCCGCGCUGCAUUAGCUAGUUGGUAAGGUAACGGCUUACCAAGGCAACGAUGCAUAGCCGACCUGAGAGGGUGUUCGGCCACACUGGGACUGAGACACGGUCCAGACUCCUACGGGAGGCAGCAGUAGGGAAUCUUCCGCAAUGGGCGAAAGCCUGACGGAGCAACGCCGCGUGAGUGAUGAAGGUCUUCGGAUCGUAAAACUCUGUUAUUAGGGAAGAACAUAUGUGUAAGUAACUGUGCACAUCUUGACGGUACCUAAUCAGAAAGCCACGGCUAACUACGUG
rnacentral:rRNA from 1 species